rnacentral:rRNA from 1 species
GAUGAACGCUGGCGGCGUGCCUAAUACAUGCAAGUUGAGCGAAGCGGGGACGGGUGAGUAACACGUGGAUAACCUCCUAUCAGACUGGGAUAUCUUCGGGAUACAGGAGCUAAACUGGAUACUUAUAUAUGGAUCCGCGCUGCAUUAGCUAGUUGGUAAGGUAACGGCUUACCAAGGCAACGAUGCAUAGCCGACCUGAGGGGGUGAUCGGCCAAACUGUAACGUAGACACGGUCCAGCCUCGUACGGACGGCCGCAGCAGGGAACCACCCGUCAUGGGCGAAAGCCUGCCGGAGCAUCGCGGCGUGAGUGAUGAAGGUCUGCGGAUCGUAAAACUCGGUUAUUAGGAAAGCGGUACCUAAUCAGAAAGCGACGGCUAAGAACAUGCCGGCCGGCGCGGUAAUAC